UACGUAGGUGGCGAGCGUUGUCCGGAAUUACUGGGUGUAAAGGGCGUGUAGACGGGAGUGCAAGUCAGAUGUGAAAUACCAAGGCUUAACCAUGGGACUGCAUCUGAAACUGUGUUUCUUGAGUGCUGGAGAGGAAAGCGGAAUUCCUAGUGUAGCGGUGAAAUGCGUAGAUAUUAGGAGGAACACCAGUGGCGAAGGCGGCUUUCUGGACAGUAACUGACGUUGAGGCGCGAAAGCGUGGGGAG
rnacentral:rRNA from 1 species